AAGAAGCUUUAUAGAGUUUAAAAUCAGAAUUCUCAGUAAGCAAGAGCAAGAUGAUGAAGUCCUUCAGUGUCUUACUAGUGAUCCUUUGGCUUCAGUUCAUCUUGGUCAGCGGCCAACAGAAGGAGGUGGAGCAGAGUCCUGAGUCCCUCAGUGUCCCAGAGGGAGCCAUCGCCUCACUCAACUGCACGUAUGGGGUCAGCAAUUCUCAGUACAUCUGGUGGUACCGACAGUACCCUGAAAAAGGCCCUGAGUUGCUCAUGUCUGUAUACUCCCGUGGUGACGAAGAAAAAGGAAGAUUCAGAGCACAUCUCAACAGAGCCAACCGAUAUGUUUCCCUGCACAUCAGAGACUCCCAGUCCCUUGACUCAGCCACCUACUUCUGUGCAGUGAGCGCACAGUGGUCCCCAGGCACCUGCAGCCUGCACCCAAACCACAGAGGCUCAGGCAGACCUGAGGCAGAAUGGAGAUCACAGGGCAGAGAAGCUCUGUUCCUGCUCCAGAUGCAGUGGGAAUUAAGGACAACAGUGGGAAGGGUUUCAUAG